AAUGUUUUCAAUCCUACGUGGACAAUUCAGGGCUAUGGUGCGAGUGAAGCUGGCCAAACAAGAUCACAGAUCAAAUAUUUACUGCAAGCCACCUAAGGAAAAGAUCGGACCUGGGACGGUGUUUACUAUGUCCAUCUUUGCACUUGGUCUCCUGGUCCCUGCUGGUUGGAUCAUGUACCACAUCCCAGUAUACCGCCAAACACCACCUUCAGGAGUUUGAACUUAGGGACAACCUACAUCACUCACUCUCUGCCACAUCACAUAGCUUUUUGCUUGCUGAAAUAAAAUGUGAUUUCUCACUUGACAAAGUCUAAAUACAACAGUUCUGAAGUUUAUUUA